CAUUAACUCCAAAAACUGUGGAGGGACUCAUUUGCAUGCAAAGUUGGAUGUUAGGUGAUGAAAUCGCAGAGAUCCAAGAUGAUUGCACCAUUGAAAACAUAGAGUUUUAUGAAGCUGUUGAGCAUGAGCAUGAAAGCACUGCAUCUAGCAAAAAUGUGUGUCCUGCUCCAGUUCCAAGAGCUAAAGGGAAGGGAAAGUCUGUUGCAGCUGGUAAUGUAAUUGUUAUCUAAACUGUUUCAGUUUAGUUGUCUUCAAUUUUUAAUGUUGUCCCAACUUUAUGAGUUUAUGUAUUGAUUCUAUUGAAUAAUGAACUAUAAUGGAUGAAGUGUGAACAUUGUAGCA